GGAAAGCGUUUUGAGGCUACUUCCGGUCGUGCUCUCAGAGCACCAAGCGGGAGAGUGGGCUCAGGGGGAGUGUGCGCAGUCUCCCUGGCGCUGCUGCGGCCAGACCAGAGAGGCCGGCGGGGUGAGCAGCUUCGGGGUAACGCAGGAUUCCGGUCGCGUGGGCGGCGCGGGACAGCGUGAGGAGGCGAGUCUAAGCGCCAUGCGACCACGGCUCGCGACGCCGGUGGACCGCAGGCUGAAGCAGCGGGUGGUGCAGUACCUCACCAGUAAUAAAUGUGGCAAAUAUGUGGAUACUGGAAUCUUAGCGUGCGAUUUGCAAAGAAUGUACAGUGUGGACUACGGUCGAAGAAAAAAGAAUGCAUUUAGGAUUCAGGUAGAAAAAGUAUUUAACAUAAUCAGUGAUGAGAAGGAGUUUAAAAAUCGAACAGAAUUAGAAGACGAACAUCUGACAAAAAGAGCCAGACAAGGGGAAGAGGAUGAUGAGUGUACUGAAAGCUCUUCUGAUGGUGAUUCAGUUGUAGAUUACAUAGAUCCACAGUCAGCAAACCACAUGAACAGUUCACUGCUCUCUUUAUAUCGGAAAGGAAAUCCUGAUUCUGUUUCAAAUACUCCAGAGAUGCAACAAAGAGAAACUACUGCUUCAGCACCACAGUUGAAUUCUAAAACCGGCUCCAUUACUUUGAAGACCCCUGCCAGAGAGUCUGAGGGAGGAUGGUUUAUUGACAGAACCCCAGGUGGAAAGAAAGACAGUGUUUUCAUGGAGCCAUCUGAGGAGAAAAGUAAUCAUAAGCCUAGACCUGAGAUACAGGAUACAAAAAGUUUUUCUCUUCUGGAGAAUGAUAGAAAAAAGAAAGGCAAAAUGAAGGGCAAAGGAAACAAACGAAAGAAAGAAGACCUUCAGGAAGUAGAUGGAGAAAUAGAAGCUGUCUUGCAAAAGAAAGCUAAAGCCAGGGGACUAGAAUUGCAGACCUCCAGUGUGAAGUUUGAAGAUGUUGGAGGCAAUGAUAUGACCUUAAAAGAAGUCUGCCAGAUGCUCAUACACAUGCGUCAUCCAGAAGUGUACCACCACCUGGGCAUUGUGCCCCCUCGCGGCGUUCUGCUUCACGGGCCCCCUGGCUGUGGCAAGACGCUGCUUGCACAUGCAAUUGCUGGGGAACUUGACCUGCCGAUUCUGAAAGUGGCUGCUCCAGAGAUUGUGUCAGGAGUUUCUGGGGAGUCUGAACAGAAGCUCAGAGAUUUAUUUGAACAAGCUGUGUCAAGUGCACCAUGCAUUGUGUUUAUUGAUGAAAUUGAUGCUAUCACCCCUAAAAGAGAAGUUGCUUCAAAAGAUAUGGAACGAAGAAUCGUAGCUCAACUUCUAUCCUGCAUGGAUGAUCUGAAUAACGUUGCUGCUGUGGCUCAGGUCCUCGUCAUUGGAGCUACAAACCGACCAGACUCAUUAGAUCCUGCUCUGAGACGUGCAGGGAGGUUCGACCGAGAAAUUUGCCUAGGUAUCCCUGAUGCACCUGCCAGGGAAAGAAUACUUCAGACUUUGUGCCGAAAACUCAGACUUCCUGAAACAUUUAAUUUUUGUCACUUAGCACACCUGACACCAGGUUUUGUUGGUGCUGAUCUGAUGGCGCUUUGCCGAGAGGCAGCUGUGUGUGCAGUGAACAGGGCCCUGAUGAGGCUGCAGGAGCAGCAAAGGAGAGACCUUGAGGGUGAAGGUGGCCAGAGGGAAACACUGGAAACGGAGUCCACUUCUGAAACACAGGAUGAAUUUCAAAGGCUUCUGGGAUUGCUAAGAGACCAUGAUCCCCUCUCAGAGGAGCAGAUGCAAGGAUUAUGCAUUGAAAUGAAUGACUUCAUUGUUGCUCUUGCCUCGGUCCAACCCUCUGCCAAAAGAGAAGGUUUUGUUACUGUUCCUAAUGUGACUUGGGCAGACAUUGGUGCCCUGGAAGAUAUUAGAGAAGAGCUCACCAUGGCAAUACUGGCCCCAGUGCGUAAUCCAGACCGGUUCAAGGCCCUCGGCCUGGUGACUCCAGCUGGAGUCCUCCUUGCUGGUCCUCCUGGCUGUGGUAAGACUCUGCUGGCAAAGGCUGUAGCAAAUGAGUCUGGACUAAAUUUUAUAUCUGUCAAAGGCCCUGAAUUACUAAAUAUGUAUGUUGGUGAGAGUGAACGAGCUGUGCGACAGGUUUUUCAGCGAGCCAAGAACUCGGCACCCUGUGUGAUAUUCUUUGAUGAAAUGGAUGCGUUAUGUCCUCGAAGAUCAGACAAAGAGACUGGCGCAAGUGUUCGGGUGGUGAAUCAGCUACUUACAGAGAUGGAUGGUCUGGAAGCACGUCAGCAGGUUUUCAUCAUGGCAGCCACUAACAGGCCAGAUAUUAUUGACCCUGCAAUUCUACGCCCAGGCCGGCUGGACAAAACACUGUUCGUGGGUUUGCCACCCCCAGCGGAUCGUCUUGCCAUCUUAAAAACUAUCACAAAAAAUGGCACUAAACCUCCACUGGAUGCAGAUGUAAAUUUGGAAGCAAUUGCUAAUGACCUUCGCUGUGAUUGCUAUUCGGGUGCAGACCUCUCUGCUUUGAUACGAGAAGCUUCUCUUUGUGCCCUGAGACAGGAAAUGGCAAGAGAAAAGUACGGAAAUGGAAAAGGUGAGCUCAAGAUUAGUCAUACGCACUUUGAAGAAGCUUUUAAGAAAGUGAAACCAUCUAUAUCAGUAAAGGAUCAAAAAAUGUAUGAAGCUCUUCAGCGAUCCCUCAGCCAGUGACAACUCCAGCAGCCAGCGUGGUGAAUCCGGCACGUGGAGCCAGUCAAGCAGUCCAGUGCUUGAGGAUGCUCGCCCUCAGCUCAGCAAAGAUGAGGUCUCAUACCCUUCUAUUACUGGACAGGAUAAAAAUUCUGACUCUCAGACUGGGGAUUUAGCUCAACGGCACAAGUGCCUGCCUGGCAUGCAUGAGUACUGGGAAUCGAAUUCACGACUGCCUGCUUACGAGGCAGGCACUUAUGCCGCUGAGCUAAAUCCCCAGCCCCGCAAACUAAAAGUUUUGUGACCAACGCUACGCGGGAGCCUGCUGCGCCACUAGAGUCAUGGUAAGUGAAUGGUGAUCCUUUCCCUUUUUUUCCGGCAUGGGUCAGGCAUUAAGUGACACUUUGUGUCAGGUUUAAGUAAAGCUUUAAAGACAAGAGGGAUAAAGGCUAAAGAAAAAGAUUUAUUGCAGUACUUUCAAUUUAUUCAUAAGGUUUGCCCUUGGUUUCCUUUAAAGGGCUCUAUUGAUGCAAAAAGAUGGAAAAGAGUAGGAGAUGCAUUAAAAGAUAACUAUCAGGUCUUUGGCCUUGUAAAGGUCCUAGUUAUGGCUUGCCUAUUGGAACCUAAUCUUGGAGCCACUUACACAGCACUACCAAGACCCCCAAAUUGAUAAAACCAUCACCCAAGGUGAAGCCGCCAACAUUGCUCCCUUCAGGAGAUGAAUCUAAACCUUCUUGCCCCUCGGAUGAGUCAAAUGAUAUGUUAAAAAAGCCCCAAGAUGGUGGCCCGCCGCCAUCCAAGCCCCUAUCCCCUGAGGCCCGCCACAACUCUCUAUCUAAAAUGGCGCUUACCUCACUUCUGCCACAUCAGGGUGGGCCCCUCCCCAAAAUGGCGUUUCCAGUGAUGGAAACAAACGUACCUCCCCAAGAAGGCGCCGCACAGCCACAAGACGGCCCCGUGCUGCUAGCUCCACAAGUCAUUAGGACCCAGAUGCCAUUCACAGUGGCAGCUUUAAAAGAAUUAAAGAUGGCAGUUGCCCAAUAUGGCCCUACAGUUGCUUUCACUCUUGCUUUUUUAGAUUCUAUGACCCAAGGUUGGAUCAUUCCAAAUGAAUGGAGGGAUUUAGCCAAAGCUACUCUCUCUGGGGGCAAUUAUUUACUCUGAAAGUCUGAAUUUAUGGAACAAUGUGAAAAUAUUGCUAGAGAUAAUGCCGCUAGAGAAAACCCCUGGAUCCUUUCUGAUAGAGUUAUUUCCAAAAGAUGAAAAAUAUUAACAAAAGACGAGAAAUAUAAAAUAAAAAGCGGCCUUUAUUCUGAGAACACGGAGAGAGAUGACCAGCAACCCCACCACUGGCGUCCGGCGAUCUCUCCGGUGGACACGUGGCGUGGGGGCCUGUAAAUAGCCUCGGUUUGGGGUGGAACCUAAGGCGGGCAUUAGGGAUACACAGGUAGCCCAUUGGUCCUAGGUUUGGCGCCAUAUGUAAAUUCCCAGGGGCGGGAAGAUGGCGUCACAGGUAACUUCCUAGGGUCAGGACAAGAUGGGGCUUCCUGCUUCCAGUUGUGGCUUUCCUGGCUACAGUGUCCUGUCUGGGCCAAAACCUUUCAUAUCCCGUCUUAUGAUUAUUAUUAUGAAAAGGGGCGAAGAUUUCUCUCUUUAACUACUUCCUGCUGGCAAAGGGCGCUGUACUGGAGCCUAGGGGAGUCGACAGGAUGAAGGUUGAUGCCCAGGUAGACGCUGCUGCCAGGUGUUUUAGCCAGGACAACUUCACUGGUGAAUGCACGUAUGUCAGACUGGAAAAACAAAGAGACAAGAUGUUAUGAGGAGACAUGGCACUGUCAUAUUUAACGACCCAGGUGAGGUAGAAGGAAAGGUGCCUUUGAUUUAGACAUAUCAUUCUAUCAGGACCAUGUUGAGGUAGAAACAUUUCCACGGUAAGGCAGAAUUCUGAAAAUUAAACGUGGGGUUAGGAGGAGUGGAGUUAUGAGAGAUGCUUAUUCCCGCAUCUGAAAGCGGAAAAGUUAAGAUGGUAGGUUGGUAAGGCUUGUCUCUGGUAUGCAUGAUGUUGGAGUCUGUAGGCAAUACUAUUAAAAGAGUCCUGCUGUAAAAAUGAUCAUUAAUAGAAUGUAAGAAAUUAGGAACCAAAGUGGAUAACAAAACAUGACUUAGCCUGUUAACUGUGGCUGCGAGGCCUUUGUGGACGGAGACGGGUAGGCGACAGAAGAUGAGAUGACCACUCAGAAUGAUCAGAUUUAGGGCUGGAAGGGCACCUCUUAGCCUGAGUGAUGUGAAACCAGGAUGGCAGUCCAGCAACUUUGAUUUAGGCAUGGGUCACUGUAACCUGGUUGUAGUCCUUGGAAUGAUUUGCUGUAACAGAACUUUAGCAAGUAUGAGAAAGGCUUUUAUGUAUCCUGAAAAAGUAUAAACCAAGUGAGAAGACUGGGACCUGCACAAAAUAGGCCCUGUUUGUAAAUGGCAUAGGUUGACCAUCAAUACCCUGUCAUAGAGAUUGAGGACUUAAUAUAGCAGCCUGAAUACUCAGGAAGAACUCUGUAUAUAUGGCCUCUAUGUCCACAAAUAUAGAGAAUGUCUUACCUGAGACUUUAGUGCGACUUGGAAUUUGAGAUGGACACCCACAAAGGGGGCUGCUGGCCCUGAGUCUUCUCAGUUUUCAGCAGCGAUUUUCUGUCGGUGACGAAUCUGGCAGUGUCGACAUUUCCUGUGAGGGCUAUUACUUAGGAUGACUUACCCACUCUCUGGUGGCUAGGACAGUCCAGUAGCCCUGGAGUAAGGUCUCAAAGAAUGACAGGGUGGGGCAUUUUUUUGCCCAGUAUCUUCUGCUGCAUUUGAGCAUGGUCCAUGGAGGGGCCAGGCAGCUCCACCUUGUGUAGGUUUACCUGUCUCAGAACUCCAAGUGUCACAAGUGUUAAAAUUAUGAAAAACCAUAUUAAGAUCUCUCUAAGGUUUGAAGGUCAAGUUUUGCCUUUUUGUUUGGGAUUUGGACUAUAGUAGAAUUAAGUAAGUAUGCAGGAAUUUAAUAUUGGCAUUUUGGAUUAGAGAGCAGGCUUUAUCUGGAUGGCAUAUCGCUUUUUUAUAGGGUGACACGUAGAAUUAACAAAGCUUUAGUCUGCCAAACAAGGCUUUAAUGGAAACAUUUUGCAGUAAAGGUUUAGCAAUCUUAUGAAUAAAUCAAAACUGAUCUAAUACUGUCAAAUUCUGAACACAUUUACUUUUAAAGUUGUUAUUUGCAGUAGUAUGAACCAAGACAAAUAAAAUAAAACUUUGAAGAAAACCCUUGUCUUGAAAUAGAGCUAGUGGUUCCUAGCAAAAAGGAAUUUAUAACCUUAGUUGUUAAACAGGAGAUUGGUGAAGGCUUUGAUUGAUAAACAAGGCUGGUAAAAUUAUCAGGUGGCCAAUAACCUUGAUUAAAUGGUUUGAGAAUUGUAAUAAAAAAGCAUCUUUUGAGUGGAGCCAAAUUGUAAAAAAAAGCAUGCCUGAGCAGAGCCGCUGAGCUGCUGUUUCGCUGCGCUCCGGCAGAGCACGCCCAGUGGGUGGGGCAAGCGCUGGGAUGUAGCGCGCAGGGGCGGGCUCGGACCGCCCCCGGAAACGUGUAAGGUGGCAGCGGCGGCGACGGUGGCGCACAGGGGAGGGAGGGGCUGGGACGACGCAUGGGGGAGGGGCUGGGAGGCGGCCCGACACAGUGCGCAAAGCUGGAACUGCUCACAGGGCGCGAGGAAUAGAAAGCCAAUUUAGGAACACAGCUGGGUUGUGAUCAGCUUCUUUUUGAGCUGCUUGCCACAGCUGAUUCCGUUCUUGUGAGCUGAGAGUGGUAUUUAGAAUCCCAUAAACAUCCUUAAAAUGUAAAUCAUAACAAUUAGUAAUAAAUUUAAAUUGCUGGAUAUAAUUUUGUGGGUUAACAGAGAGGGUACCUAAUUUAAGGGUAAUCUGGGAUAGAUCAGAAAGGGAAAAAGGCACAUGGAUGUUAACAAGUCUCUCGGGGCCAGCUUGCUCCCAAAGUGGAAGCAGAGCCUGAGGAGAAGAUUCCAGAGCAGAGGGCCACUGAGCAGCCAUCCUUCCGGUAGGCGCAUGUGAGCAAUCAUCUGUAGAACGGCUACAGAGCUGCUGCCGGUCACCCUGGGAAACAUGAGCAGAUGGCGUCUCACUGUGUGCCUUGCAGUGAGAGGACUGCUGUCGGCAGCACAAUGAAGCAUCAUGUGCACUGCAACAGGGCGGCUGUUGUAGUUCACAAGAGGAGCCACAAGGAGACGCCUGUUGACAGUGAGGGCCCUGGAAACAUGGCGGCGCCCUGUCACGUGACCCAAAACAUGGCGGCGCCUGGGAACAUGGCGGUGCCCUGUCACGUGGCCCAAAACAUGGCGGUGCCCUGUCACCAUGUGGCCCUCCUGAACAUGGCGGCGCCAUGCCACGUGGCAGAGGGUUGCAACAUGGCGACUGUUCCCCGCGCAAGCUGGAACAAUCACGCGACCUGCUGGAAGGACAUAGCAACCGAGACCUAGUAUGGUGGGCAGGCGGUGAGAAUGCUGUAGGGGAUACAGAAUUCUCAGGAGAGGAAGUCGGAGACUGCGAGGAAGCGCUAACAGAGGGAUUAAAGCUGCUGGGAGAGUUAUGGGUCCCGGAAGGCAGAGAGGGAGACGAUCGCACAGCGGGAGGUAUCUGCGUCGGAGAGGGAUUAGAGCUGCUGGGAGAAUCAGGCAUAGGGGGAGGGGAGAGUGGCCCGGCGGGAGGUAACGGCAGGGAACGAGUUUGGUGGUAGGCAGGCGGCGGCCGGGAAAACACCGGAGGAACGUCCUCAAGCGAAUCCUGAGGGUAGGGUGGAAAAGUUUGCGGCGCGGUAGAGUUAGCUAAAAGUAUCUCAGCGGGAGCACAAGACUUAAUGAGAGAUGGGCGUGUUCUCAGAAUAAGAAAGGCUUGGACAUAAGGGAGUUCUAAUAACUUGUUGCCAGCUUGACAAAAAUCAUACAAGUUCCUGAGAAUGCAGGGGUCAAAUGUUCCUUGCUGAGGCCAAGGCUUGCCGAUAAGCGGGUAGGUUGGCCAGACCUCCUGGCAGUAAAAAGUUAGUUGUUUAGUUUUUAUGGUACCUUUAAUUUUUAGAGUACGUAAAUUGGAAAUUAGGCAUUGUAAAGGCGUCUUUUGGGAGUUAGAAAAUACGUUCCCCAUGACUGAUUCAGGCAAGAAAAAAAAACCGGAGGUCCAGAAAAAGUCAUCACUUAUUUGUGGUACCACGCGGCGGCUACGGUUCCAAAAACUCGUAAACUCCAGUUGUCACUGAGAGAUUUACGAAUGGAGUCUACGUGGGGUCAGUAACAGUUUUGCCCGUGAAAGCGCAAGGCUUUAAGGGAAGUGAGGCAUUCUUUCAGUGUGGGCGGUCCCAAAGAUCCCUCCUUUGGGCUAUCCGAACCCAAAGAACGUGAGAGAUUUUGUGGACGCAGGUUUGCCCAGAAAGAACCCUGCCCUGGGCGGUCCUAAGGACGUGAAAAUGCACAGACCCACGCAGACGGGGAGAACAUUCCACUGGGGCUGCCCAGUGCGAAAAGUUCCCCGGGGAGUGCUCACCUGAAAUCAGUCUGGCCGAUGUGGAGUGCAGGCGGCUGGCGACAGGAACGUCUCGGGAGAGGAAAAAGCUCGGGAUUAAUCCAGGAUGUUAUCUGGUUAUCGGCUAGGAGACUCUGGGCAUGUGGCCCAAGAGUCAGUUGCCUGCCGAUCAAGUCACGGCACCAAAUGAUAGAGUUAUUUCCAAAAGAUGAAAAAUAUUAACAAAAGAUGAGAAAUAUAAAAUAAAAAGCGGCCUUUAUUCUGAGAACACGGAGAGAGAUGAACGGCAACCCCACCGCUGGCGUCCGGCGAUCUCUCCGGUGGACACGUGGCGUGGGGGCCUGUAAAUAGCCUCGGUUUGGGGUGGAACCUAAGGCGGGCAUUAGGGAUACACAGGUAGCCCAUUGGUCCUAGGUUUGGCGCCAUAUGUAAAUUCCCAGGGGCGGGAAGAUGGCGUCACAGGUAACUUCCUAGGGGCAGGGCAAGAUGGGGCUUCCUGCUUCCGGUUGUGGCUUUCCUGGCUACAGUGUCCUGUCUGGGCCAAAACCUUUCACUUUCCAUGUUAACGGGAACUGAGGAUUUUAACACCAAAGAGGCCCAAAUGAGAUAUGAUCCCGGCCUUUUUGCACAAGUUAAUACAGCCACUACCAGAGCUUGGAGAAAGCUCCCCUCCGGGGGUGAUGUAACCUCCUCCCUUACCCAGAUUAGACAAAAACCAAAAGAGCCAUUCUCUGAUUUUGUCGACCAUCUUGUACAGGUGGCCGACAGGCAGCCUCGUACAGGCGGCCAAGCGCCUUUUUGGCACCGUUGAAACUAAUGCGGCCCUAAUUAAACAAUUAGCCUAUGAAAAUGCGACAUCAGCUUGCCAAGCCAUAAUUCGGCCUCAUAAAAAGAAGGAAGAUCUAUCUGGCUAUGUACGCCUAAGCGCCGACAUAGGCCCUGCCUACCACCAGGGUCUAGCUAUGGCCGCCGCUGUCAAACAAGUCUUUCUUGCGCAAAAAAAUAAUGGUACAUGCUUUAAAUGCAACCAAUUGGGACACUUUUUCCAGGACUGUCCUCUAAACAACAGUAGGGCCCCCUCUCGGUCGAUUGUGGUAACAAGCUAGCUCACCUAACCCUCACUCAGUAUUCCCAAGGGCUCUGGCAAUGUCAUCCCAAGCCCCAGGUAGUGCCAGUUGACCCAAAAGGCCAAGGCAUUGUUGAACAUGCACAUCGUUCUCUCAAACUCACUAUUAAUAAUGUCAAAAGAGGAUCAUGGUACCCUAUCCAAGGAUCCCUCAGAAAUAUUCUAUCUCAUGCCUUAUUCAUCCUUAAUUUUUAAACUUUGGAUGCUUCUGGACAGUCAGCAGCCAUGCGUUUUUGGCAUACUGAAACACAAAAGCAAUUUGCUUCUGUACUAUGGAGAAACCCCCUGACUAACUCACGGCGUGGCCCUGACCCCAUUCUCAUAUGGGGACGUGGUUCAGUGUGUAUAUACUCCCAUCAAGACAAAGAGGCUAGAUGGCUCCCUGAAUGCCUCAUUAGACAAAUUAAUGAGCCAAAUAAUAAUAACCCCAAAAAGGCCCAGGAGCAAACACAUACCCUGAGGCAACUUCUUGUGCUUCCUUACAGAAAAUGCCAAACCGAUGGAUUACGUGGUGCCUUCUUGAGAAUCUCCUUGGACCACCCUUGACCAACGAUGGAUUUGGACCUCCUGUCACAAAUGGCCUCUAACCCCUUCUCCACACUCUGGGGAGGGCUCUUCCCCUACCUAGCGCCCCUCCUGGGGCCCCUAGCUGCCUUGUUGCUUCUCCUCUCUGUGGGUCCUGGUAUUUUUCAGAGGAUUAUAACCCUCAUUAAUAACCGGAUAGACACGUUUAUGGCAAAGCCCAUUAAGGUACACUGUCACCAGCUGGAGAUAGCAAAUUAACAAACCUACCAGGAAGGAAUUCCCACGAGUGGCCCAUAUGACAAUAUGGCCUAACUGCCCUGAGACAAUGGACAGGCAGCCAGAGACGAGCAACUAGGACAUACAUGCCACAACACCAGCCGCCUAAGACAGGCAUAGGACCAACUGCUAUCCUGCAAGCCCAUGACGGGUAAGGCCCGGUUGGGUUCAUGUAAUGAGGUCCUUGACCUAAGACAGGUGCUGUCCUCACAGGGCCUGCCAUACUCCUGAUUAAAAAAUAUAGAAAGGGAGGAGAUGUAGGGAGUGGUGCGACCACCCCACUGCUGUCUCCCCGACUCUCCCUCAUAUGGGCACAUAAUGCGCCUACAUUAACCAUAAUCCUCUCCUACUCAUGUCAUGUACACGGACGUGACGAUGACCCAUCAGAGAUCACCCCAUAGCCUCUUCCUGUCCCACUGGCCCGCCCCUGCCCUAUAAAAGCCGCAACCACUUUCUCAAUAAACGAGGCUUGAUCGGA